AUUGAACGCUGGCGGCAGGCCUAACACAUGCAAGUCGAACGAGUGGCGGACGGGUGAGUAAUGUCUGGGAAACUGCCUGAUGGAGGGGGAUAACUACUGGAAAAGGUAGCUAAUACCGCAUACCAUCGGAUGUGCCCCGAUGGGAUUAGCUAGUAGGUGGGGUAAAGGCUCACCUAGGCGACGAUCCCUAGCUGGUCUGAGAGGAUGACCAGCCAAAUUGGACCUGAGACACGGGCCAGAUUCCAAGGGGAGGAAGAAGUGGGGAAAAUUGCACAAGGGGGGCAAGCCGAUUGCGGCCAUGCGGGGUGAAUGAAGAGGGCCUUCGGUUUGUAAAGUACUUUCAGCGGGGAGAGGUUACCCGAAGAAGAAGCACCGCCUAACUCCGUGCCAGCAGCCGCGUAAUUC
rnacentral:rRNA from 1 species